rnacentral:rRNA from 1 species
CCUACGGGAGGCAGCAGUGGGGAAUAUUGGACAAUGGGGGGAACCCUGAUCCAGCGACGCCGCGUGAGUGAAGAAGUAUUUCGGUAUGUACAGCUCUAUCAGCAGGGAAGAACAUGACGGUACCUGACUCAGAACCCCCGGCUAACUACGUGCCAGCAGCCGCGGUAAUACGGAGGGGGCAAGCGUUAUCCGGAUUUACUGGGUGUAAAGGGAGCGUAGACGGUGCAGCAUGUCUGAUGUGAAAGGUCCGGGCUCAACCCCGGGACUGCAUUGUAAACUGUUGAACUGGAGUACAGGAGAGGUAAGCGGAAUUCCUAGGGGAGCGGUGAAAUGCGUAGAUAGUAGGAGGAACACCAGUGGCGAAGGCGGCUUACUGGACUGUAACUGACGUUGAGGCUCGAAAGCGUGGGGAGCAAACAGGAGUAGAUACCCGGGUAGUC